rnacentral:tRNA from 1 species
AGGGGAGUGGCUCAACGGUAGAGCANNAGCAGCGGUCUCCAAAACCGCCGGUUGCGUGUUCGAAUCGCGUCUCCCCUGCCA